CGUCCCGCCCCCGUGCUUUGAGGGGAGGCCGCCGGGAGAGGGACGGGGGUGGCUGCGGCAGCGCCCCGAUGGGCCGCGGGCAGCCGCUCGUCUCCGUGCGACGGCGCUGCGGGCGGGCGCCCUGGGCACAGGACACAUCCUUUAAAAAGGCUUUUCCCAACGCGCCCCGGGGAGCUGCGGGCGGUUCGAGGCUCUCCGCGGCCUCGGUGGCCUCGGGCCCAGGCGAGCUCCGCGCAGCUGGAUGGAGGCAGCACCGCGCAGGCUGGUCAUCUGAACCUCCAGAGCACCUGCAAACCUCUCCACCUUAAGUAAAAGAUGACUACUCUGUUGAAGAUCUACUUAGGAUUGCAGAAAGGUGAGCCUGAUAUUCUGCUAUAUAGUAAGAAUAUCAUAUAAUUUAGUAAGAAUACCAUAUAAUUUAGUUCCAUGAUUGUUAAUCUUAUUUUCCCUGCUGACCCUAUGAGUUCAUGACCGUGCAUGAGACCCUCCAUGUGUAGCUCUUACCUGCUCGACUUUAUCUUGACUAAAUGCAAGCUAGUGCAUUUCUGCUUGCACAAAUCCUCCUGAAAAGUCUCAGACUCAUGGGGAUGUAGCAAAAUGCACCCAGAAUGUGCCAUUUUUCAAGGUCAAUGAAGAAACAUCUAACUAUCGCUUUGUUUCCCUCAGCCCAAGCACUUACUUUCUGAGCUGUGAGCCUGGGAGGAUUGCUUGGAGGAGGAUGGAUAUGAAAAUACCCAAUACUUGAAGCAGGCAGAGAGCCUUGAGGGAAAUACAAAACACUUGGCAGUGCAAUAGAUAAGAUCAGAAAUGUGGUUUCCUUUUACCUGGGGUUCUGUUGAGGCAAAGAGAAUUUUUCUCCCCCAUCGUUCUACCAGCGAUGCAGUGCAAAUACAGAUCUUGUCACAAGGAAAGCGUGAGGAUGCUCAACCUGGCUUUACUCUUGGGAAUUAAUGCCAGUUUUCAAACUUCUUUUAGGUUUCAGUAAGAGUGGUUGCACACCUUGUUUUAAUUUCUAUUAAAAACACCUAAAGGAAGCAACCAAGAAUAAAAGUUCUUUCUAAAACGAGCCCUCGUGUCCUUGCUUUAAAUAGGCAGCACAGCUGUGUGUGGGAAGAAAGCUAAUGGUAGAGGUUGUACCUCCAAGUGCAGCUUAAAAGUUGAGUUUUUUGUUUUGAUUUCAACCUUUGACUUGUGCCAUUUGUUCUACGUGACCUUUCUUGCAAUUGGAAAUUAUCAGGGCAAAAGCUGUGCUCUUUCAUCUUCAGGUUGUGGGAGAGGAUGGUAAGUGUCUUGUUAAAAUGGAUUAUGCCAUCCAUGGAUUCCCCUGCUGGAAAGUCUUUCAGAUGAUGGAGUAAAUCUUGACAGGAAGAAGUGUAUAGAUUAAAAUUAAUGUAAAAAUAAGCUUGGAAUAGCAAAGGAACAUUUGCAGCUUUCUGUAUCCUAUCCAGAUGAAAUGAUUUAAUGAUAUUUAUCAGAGUGAGAUAUAUAUAUACACACUACUGCAUUACACUGAUGAAUAUGCUGCUAGAAAUUGUUUCCUCUUAAAUAAAUAUUAUAAGGAAGAUUAUUCCUCUAUCUUCUAAAUGGCCAUUUCAUUUUUUAAGCAAAAAGCAGCUCUGCCUCCAGUUGCAAUGGGAUGAGGAUUUUUAGUUUAAUGACUACUGAAGAAGGAAGUCAUCUGCAAAAUGCAUGUGAUUGAAUCCCACCCUGGAUCAAACUGGAAUGCAAUUUUUCAUAUUAAAUUUUGGGAUCAGUGGAAAAAAAAAACCAAACAACAAACCAGACUACUUACAAAACAUAUUGGCUUGUGGUAUGAGUUGGUUGUUGGUUUUGUUAUUGUGGGGUUAUUUUUCAUCUUGGAUUUGCAGUAUCUUUUGGUUACUUUUUUUGCUUGGUUGUUUGUUUGGGUUUUUUUUUUGGGGGGGGGCGGUGUUUGUUUUUUUCUUUUAGAUGGGUUUUCAUUUUUUGGAGGUUUUUUUAUUUGGUUUUUUGACUGGUCAUGAUGGAGAAUUGAGAAAAAAUUAACCUCAGCUUGGAAGAGAACUGUGAGAUUUACUUCUAUAUUGCUUUUCUUUUAUGAGUAAGAAGGAUUAAAACCCCAAUGUGAGUUCCCAUACACAUACAGACAGGAAGUAUCUGUCACCUAAAAUAUGUGGCAUAAUGGAAUUCCACCAUCUUCUCUCACUUUCACGUUUUUGUGGAAACAGUUGUUGAUUAUCAUUUAAUUCUUUGUUCCUCAGCAGUGCAAUCAACUGUUUCCUGAAGACGGAGGGUUUAGACCUUACUGCUUACAAAUAUCCAGUAGGAGUGGCUCGAAAUGAGCUCUUCAGGGGCAACUCAGUCACAGCACAGCCUUGCCAGGGUUACUGCUGCAGUCAGUGUUUGGGGUCAUGUCAUUUAAAUAAAAAUGCCAAAAUCAGGGCUUGAGAGGGGAAAAGAAACUACUGUGCUAAUUCCUCAUAUUCACAUUUUAUUCCCAUCAGAUCACCUACCAGUGAGAUAUUUCCCUCAAAGCAUCAGUAGCUGAUUUCAGUUUUUAAUACGUAAAAUGGAUCCAAAAUUACAUGCAAUUAAUGAGUCCAGAGUGAAUUGCUUGAUCAAGAUAAAUGACUUUACUGCAAGCUACUCUUGCUUACAGGGAUUGCCACUAAAAUGCCACUUCAAAGUAAUAAGAAAUUAAUAACUGAUUUGAAAGUUACUAGAGCAAGUUUAUGGACUAGUGGCAUCACCUGCCAUUGUUGCAUUAAAGCUUUAAGUAGCAGCAUUAAAUGUAGUUUUCCUAGGCAGUGUCCACUCUACAUCAUUGGCACCUCUUGCUCCAAUUACAUGAGGGAUUAUUCCUUAAUUUAAUUUUCUUUGUAUGCUAGGAUUGACAUUCCAUAAAGUAAGAAGAAACAAGAAGGUUUAUCUUAAGUCCAGGACAUUUCUGAAUAAAAUAUGCACUUUUAUCAGCUCCCUGUGCCAGCACACAAACAUAAUUACCUUUAGAACAUAGGUUCUUAUCACUGUCUUGCAACCUUUAAAACCUGCUUGCAUACAGUUAUCACAAGUUGGUUAUCAGGAAAAAUAAUGAUCUCCUGUGUUUGGGAAGUCACUGAAGACAUCUGUAACUUGAAAAAAAAAAUCCAUUAUAUAAUGCUUACAAGUGAUCCUAUAGAUUAAAACAAGGGGAAUGAUACAAGCAGCCUCUGAGAUAAAGGUAAAGUGUUGAGGUAGGUUUGGUUUCACUUUUUUUCCCUCUGAAAGAAAUUCGUGUUUAUAUUUUAACAGGCAAGGCUAGAAACCCUGAGGGACUGAAGUGAGGGAUUUGCAAAGGAAUGCCAGAUUCCUUCAGAGAUCACACAUGGUUAAAAUUCAAUAUCCAGCACUGGAACAGAGAGCUUGGAAGGCCCUACUGAAAAAUGAGCAGCAGCAGCAGCCAUAAGUGACAGAAGUGAUUCUCAACCACCCCAAAAUCCUUGCUUUUGACUCUGGGCCUUCUGAGAAUGGCAUCUAAUCCAACACCAUUCCUUUGUUACUUGAGAUGUGAGGGGAAAAUGCAUUGAUUUUGAAGUUUGACUGGACAAACAUAUUCCUAUAACCAUUUAAAUUCCUCCUCCAGCCCAAGGAAAAGUCUGUUCUGUCAGACAGAAACAAAAGUUUAACCCAGCAGCAGCCCUGGGCUCGUGGGCACUCAGAACAUCCUUUGCCAUCCCCAAGCACUUCAUUUAGCACUAUAAAACACAACUAGCCCUGAGCCACUUCCACUCUCCAGAGAUUAUAAAAUAUAACCCCCCAACUACUAAUUUGUGUACCUUUUGCACCAGUGAUAUUAGGGAGUACAUAAAAAUAACAAUGCAUUAUCAGGUUUUAUUAUUCCUCAGGCACUGUUUGCAAUUUUGACUAGUUGCUGUCAGGUUGGCUGUUAGAAAAACAAUUAUUCCUUUAGUACAUCAAACACUAGGAGAAAGACGAAAGGAAAUUAUAUCCAGCAAGGCAUUCAACCAUUACUUUUUUUUUUUUAGUGCAAGUUGUACAGGAUGCAAUUUGGGAAGUUAAUCUUUUGCUUUGGGUUUUCACUCUGCCUUGUGAGCAUCAGGAGCUGGCUCAGUCGCAGGAGCUGUGCAAAUAUUGUUUGCUCUACCUCAAGUGCCCUCUAGUGUGCAGUAAUUAAGCAGGUUAAAAUAAGUUUUUUCUCCUUUUUUUUCCUAAUAGCUACUCUCCUAAAUCCCAACGUAAUAUGUAACACUGCUUUUCUUCGAGGAGAAAGAGAAAUUCAAUGUUCACUGCAUUAAUUGUGUGGCUAUAAAUGAAUUAUCUCCUCCUUGCAAAAUCAAAUCACUUCUGUUGCUGUCAGAUUUUUAUUCUCAGAGGUAUAAGUUAAAUAAAGCCUGAUAAUUCUUUUGGGCGUUAUGAAAAUGUCAAAGUACAAACAGUUUUUGGUGUUAUCAGAUCCAAACCAAUAGUUUUCUAUCUGCAAAAGGAAAUUACCAUAUUCAUCAACAAAACAUGACCCUAGAACACGACUAACAAACCCACUAAUUAUGCUUCCAGGGUCUUUUAAAAGUACUCUUUGUCUGCAGUUUAGAAAACAGGCAAGCCUACAUGAAUAUAAACAGAAUAAUUACUGGGGCACACAUGUAACAAGUUCUGUGCGUUCUCAU